ACUGUAUAGUUUGUAAUUGUCAAAUUUGGAUCAUAAUGUUAACCGUUGUAUUACGUUUUAAAAUCAAGGAAAUGACUAAACAAUACUAGUUUGAUCAUCGAAUGAAAAUCUGAUAAAUAAAGAUUUAUUCAUUUUGUGUGUAUGAUGUAACAAAGUAAAAAAAUAAUAGUAACUUGUAGCGAAUUGAAAGUUGAUUUAAUAAACGCGCAAGAUAUGUGAAUCUUAUCGUACAAGUGUAGUGUUUACUAAAACCUAUCAUCGUGAAGGUUAUUUAUCAUAUCGAAUAAUCAAAUUUUUUUAUAUUGCAAAAAUGUGGUUUUAUCUUUUGCUUGUUAUUUUUACGACAUUUAAUUUUGCGAUGGCCUCGUCCAGCUUUGAUUUUGGAGAUACCUUAGCAUUGAUCAUUGGAUUGAUUAUUGGAAUCAUUGGAUUUUUUGCCUGUAUGGGUGCUUACGCACGGCAUCGAAAUCGUAUGGAAGCAAUAGCAUAAUUGUUAUAAGCACUUCACAACUCCAUUAAUCGCUAUUCAAUACAUAUAGAAUUAAUGAAGAAAAUGCCUGAAGUGACUGUUUUGAAUAUGUUUGAUAAUAUAAAAUUUAUAUAAAGAUUGCUUUAAAACUAACAGAAAUUAAAAGUUUUUUAUAAUGAAAUUUCUAUAAUUUAAUCAAUAUAAAUAUAAGGUAACAUCUUUGUCGCCACAAGCUAUUUUUAUAUCUACUAUACUAUUAUUGUAAGAUAAUUAUUAAACAAAUGUAAAUAAAAAUGGUAAUGAUAUGUAGAUAUCAUUAUUGAAACAAUCAUUUGUUAAAGA
rnacentral:lncRNA from 1 species